rnacentral:rRNA from 1 species
AACGAACGCUGGCGGCGUGGAUAAGACAUGCAAGUCGAACGGAUUCGUUGGCGUAGCAAUACGCUGGCGGGUCAGUGGCGCAAGGGUGCGUAACACGUGGGCAACCUGCCCUGGAGACUGGGAUAGCCCGCCGAAAGGCGGAUUAAUACCGGAUGCGGCUACCGAAUGAUUAUUCGGGACGCUAAAGGUGGCGCAAGCUGCCGCUCCCGGAUGGGCCCGCGGCCUAUCAGCUAGUUGGUUGAGGUAACGGCUCACCAAGGCUAUGACGGGUAGCUGGGUCUGAGAGGACGACCAGCCACACUGGAACUGAGACACGGUCCAGACACCUACGGGUGGCAGCAGUCGAGAAUUUUUUCGCAAUGGGGAAACCCGUAGACGGAAGCGACGCCGCGUGGAGGAUGAAGGUCUUCGGAUUGUAAACUCCUGUCAUUGGUGAACAAAGUACUGCGGUUAACUGCCGUGGUGCCUGCUAGUAG